rnacentral:rRNA from 1 species
AACACGUAAGCAAUCUGCCCCUAAAUCUGGGAUAACUCUGCCAACGCGGGGCUAAUACCGGAUGUGGUCACGACAUCGCAUGGUGUUGUGAUUAAAGAUGGCUUCGGCUAUCGUUUAGGGAUGAGCUUGCGGCCCAUUAGCUUGUUGGUGAGGUAACGGCUCACCAAGGCGACGAUGGGUAGCCGACCUGAGAGGGUGAUCGGCCACAUUGGGACUGAGAUACGGCCCAGACUCCUACGGGAGGCAGCAGUAGGGAAUUUUGCGCAAUGGACGAAAGUCUGACGCAGCGACGCCGCGUGAGGGAUGACGGCCUUCGGGUUGUAAACCUCUGUUGAGUGGGACGAAAACUCGCAGGGUUAAUACCCCUGCGACCUGACGGUACCACUCGAGGAAGCUCCGGCUAACUACGUGCCAGCAGCCGCGGUAAUACGUAGGGAGCAAGCGUUGUUCGGAAUCACUGGGCGUAAAGGGAGUGUAGGCGGGAAAGUAAGUUAGGAGUGAAAUACACAGGCUUAACCUGUGGCCCGCUCUUAAUACUGCUUUUCUUGAGUAUGGGAGAGGAAGAUGGAAUUCCAGGUGUAGCGGUGGAAUGCGUAGAUAUCUGGAAGAACACCAGUAGCGAAGGCGGUCUUCUGGCCCAAUACUGACGCUGAGGCUCGAAAGCUAGGGGAGCAAACAGGAUUAGAUACCCUGGUAGUCCUAGCCGUAAACGAUGGACACUAGUUGUCGGGGGAGUCAAUCCCUUCGGUGACGAAGCUAACGCAUUAAGUGUCCCGCCUGGGGAGUACGCUCGCAAGGGUGAAACUCAAAGGAAUUGACGGGGGCCCGCACAAGCGGUGGAGCAUGUGCUUUAAUUCGAUGCAACGCGAAGAACCUUACCUGGGUUUGACAUGGGGGUGAAAGUAACCAGAGAUGGAUACCUUUCCUUCGGGAACACCCCACACAGGUGCUGCAUGGUUGUCGUCAGCUCGUGUCGUGAGAUGUUGGGUUAAG